AUUGAACGCUGGCGGCAGGCCUAACACAUGCAAGUCGAACGGUAACAGGAAGCAGCUUGCUGCUUUGCUGACGAGUGGCGGACGGGUGAGUAAUGUCUGGGAAACUGCCCGAUGGAGGGGGAUAACUACUGGAAACGGUAGCUAAUACCGCAUAACGUCGCAAGACCAAAGAGGGGGACCUUAGGGCCUCUUGCCAUCGGAUGUGCCCAGAUGGGAUUAGCUAGUAGGUGGGGUAACGGCUCACCUAGGCGACGAUCCCUAGCUGGUCUGAGAGGAUGACGAGCCACACUGGAACUGAGACACGGUCCAGACUCCUACGGGAGGCAGCAGUGGGGAAUAUUGCACAAUGGGCGCAAGCCUGAUGCAGCCAUGCCGCGUGUAUGAAGAAGGCCUUCGGGUUGUAAAGUACUUUCAGCGGGGAGGAAGGGAGUAAAGUUAAUACCUUUGCUCAUUGACGUUACCCGCAGAAGAAGCACCGGCUAACUCCGUG
rnacentral:rRNA from 1 species